GCCAGCAGAGUAAGCCUAAAAGACAGAAAAACCACCUAAAUAUAGAGAUUGCAAUGCUUAGCCUAACAAAGUAAUGUCUUUGCACUUGGUCUUUCCUACCCUUGAUUCUCAAUACCUCCCUUGUUUGGAUUGCAGAGGACAGAAUAGGGAGCAGAGAACAACAUGAACAUGUUUACUCUGAAUGGGACGAGGUUUAGGAGCUGUUUCUUUCCUUGUGAUACUUCUCUUGUUCUCAACAUCACCUGCUCCACAUGUUGGCAUAUGGACCCAAUGCAGAAGUUUAAGUUAGUGAGAUCUUAGGUGUGGUUUUAUGACUAAACUAUGGUCUUAUUGCCCAGCCCCUCUGUCUCUCAAAACGUUAAUGUUUAUCUCUCAAUCCUUUUAGUUUCCCUUUAUCAAAUUCCUAUCAUUUUAAGAAACUCAAGCAAAAUUUCACUAUUUAUUUAUUAAAGAUUCUUUUGCCUCUUAAGAAUAGCCAAUAAAAUACAGUAAAAUAAAGAUUACUAUGAAACAAAUAAAAAGCAACACAUACGUAUAUUUUUGCCUGAAUAAAAUAUUCACAAAUGGUCUUUUGCAUGAUUUUUUUCCCCUUAGCAAAUAAAGAAGUUCUGCCUUUAUCCUUAACCUUGGAUAUUCCUCAAGAUUGCUGUUCAGAACUGUGUCUUUUCCAGUCUGCUCUAAAGCUGGCAUGGCUAACGGACGUCAAACAAAUGUAG
rnacentral:lncRNA from 1 species